AUUCACAGCGGUGACAGAACGUUCCGGAACACACGACGAGCGUUGACAAGUUCACUCGGAUAGCAAAUCUGUUGUCGUAAUGGAGAAGAAAUAUUACGCAGUGGAUUAAAAUAUCUGUAUUUAUGAAGCGGAUCGACACGAUUGAUCAUUAUUUUCUAUUAUUCUGUCGUUGCUUACGACACAGAACAAACUGAAGGCGUCCCGGUGUUUAAACGCUACGAGAAUGAGGCUGAACUUAGUCACGUUAACGUAGAAGAAACGUUGAAACAAAACUUGUUUUUCUGCAGCUUCGGAAAACGACUGAAGGAGUUGAAUUUACAAAAUUGGUGAAAAGUUGUGAAGUUUGCAGCGAGUGAAAAUCGCCUAGCAACAACGGAGCAAAUUUGUGCAUUUCCUGCCUAGCAACAGUGGAAGAACCAGCAUCAUUGCAUCUCAGCAGCAACAUAAUGACGCGAACGAUCCACAUCGGCUACCAAGGUUCUGGAUGAAAUCCGAUUAGUCUCAGUCCUUACGCAACGAGCUGUCAUUCUCAGUACUUCCAUCUACUUUGCCCGUUAUGUGCCCACGCAAUUAUUCCAUGGACCGAAAGCUUGACCAAUCGACGGACGCUGUUCGCCGCUCUACAUGCAGAAGUUGGAAGGAUGGGGUGCAGCAGUUCUCGACUGCUGAGCGCCUUAAAACUGACGUGUGAGGCUGAGCGAAAGAAAGAUGGAGAGAGCGAGGUUCGGUCCUUCUUGCCUGGAUUUCACACGGCCGUUCUCCAAGGUCCUCAGCCCUCUUUCCAGGGUGGCCAGACUGCUCCGUGCUUGCGGCGUCGAAGCUUUGCGGCAGGCCACGCCUAGGAUCUAAGGUUACCUGCCCUCUCCUCGCCUCCAGAUGCACGAUCGAUGACAUGGUGGAACAACUACAAAAAUUGCAAGAAAAAACGACAAAAUUCUUCUGGUCUCGACGUCUACUUUGCUACGAAAAGAGGAAUACUUUGUUUUUCUUCGUCUUCAUUUCUCGAAAUUCAACCUACCUAUUCGAUUCUGACCUGGUGUCUCGAUGUUCCUUCUUCAGAUGAAGUUCCGACUUGAGGGGGCGCCGAAAUUUCCUGGAAAUCAUUUUUGGACGCUGUUAUCACACAGUUGGUGUAAAAAGUGAACUCAGUGCCAGUGACUCGAUUGUAGGAUUCUCAACGGAAUUAAAUCUGUCCCGCAGACUAUCUCUUCCGAUCGCCUGUAUAACCUGAGCGUAUUGGACAUGAAAGAAAGAAGGAGAAAAUCCUGCGUAAGCGUUGCACGCGAUGCGUUCAGGAUUGGGCCUGUGCCUUCGGGGACAAAAGCGGGGCCUGAUUGGAGGGGGUAGAGCUGGAUCUCUGCUGGGGGCAUAACAAAGAAUCAUCGUGCAAACGGUUGUUGCACGGUGCCGUUGCACAGCUAGCUAGCUCUAUGCAAAUGCGAUGAAACGGGUUAAGCGAGGCACGAGUGAACAGAGUCUGCAGGAUCAGGAUCUGGCUCAGGAUGACGAGGAGCUCAGUUUGCGGAGAGAAGCUCCGUCGGUGUGACGCGGUUUUCUACCUUCAUUCACCUUCGGCGAGAGAACGAGAUAAAGAAGAAGUAGAAUAAGAAGAAGAAGCGCGGACCUGGAAGAAAGCCCCGACGCGUCAUGGCGCGAAUGGAAAAAUGGCGGGAAAAGUCGACGCUGCGUGGGCGCAGGAUCGAUGAAGGGCGCAAAAUGGCGCCUCCAUCUCACCGCACACACAACAUGCCGCGACCGAUUCAGUGAUGUGUAAUUCAAGCAUGGCUACCGACCACCUACAGAUUCACCUUCCGUCGCCGCAGUCUAGCCUGGAGGCCCUCUAAUGCAACGGCUUGCAUUUCUCUCCAAAUUCCCACGGUGCCGCAACCAUUCUCGUCCUCGUCGUCGUCCACCUCACGCCACGGAGCUCGUCAAACUGUCUGCAGCUAGAAUGGACCUCUUUCGGGAUGGAUAGUGUGAUAAAGUGAGAAAUUUGAUGAUACGUUUUACAGCGUGAAAAGGUCUCUCAAGCAAUGACCUCAGCUAUUUAAUUUACGUAUGAACUUGAUGUGUCAAAAGUUGAAAAUAAAUGAAACUUGCCUAGAGACAUGUGAUAUUUAAUGGAUAAAAUUUUACGUAUUAUCAUUGUAACAGUUUUAGUGAAGUAUGAAGUUUGAGGGAAGAUUUUUGCUUCCACGACUUAGCCAGUAAGGUUACAGAAUAAAGGCGCAAAACAAUUACAAUAGGUUCUUUAACGUAUACAACGUUUAGACAUUCCUCUCAUGAAUUUUAGUUUCAGUAUUUCUCCUUGAUCUUAUUUGUGUAACUAAAAAAUUUUGUACCUACAACUUAUUUUAUAUUUUUAUUUAAACGUCUCUUGAGUCAUGGCCUCAGCUAUUUAAUUUACGUAUGAACUUGAUGUGUUAAACGUAGAAAAUAAGUGGAACUUGGGUGGAGAGGAGUGAUAUUUAAUGGAUAAAAUUUUACGUAUUAUCAUUGUAAUAUUUUUAAUGAUGUAUGAAGUUUGAGGGAAGUUUUUGGCUUCCACGAUUUAGCAAGUAAGGUUACAGGAUAAAGGUGAAACACGAUUACUGUAAGUUCUUUAACGUAUACGAUGUCCAGGCAUUCCUCUCAUGAAUUUUACUUUUACUAUUUCUCUUUGAUGUUAUUUGUGUUAAUCAAGAAUCUUAUGACAC